UAAAAAGAAAGGUCUUUUUGCCUCUCUUGAACAUGACUCUUAUAAACUUCAGGAAAAUUUCAUGCAUUGUAAUCGGGGAAAUAUCUGUAGUUAUUGUUGGCAGAAGGUUCAGUAAAUAAAUGGUGCAAUU